AACAUAUUUUAAGAAGGUAGGGUCCCUUGCUGCAGCAACGCAAGUGGGAGCACCAGCAGCCCGGGCUUGGAGCGGGACCGUACGGAUUGUUUUAAGAAAAUGGCAGACAAACCAGACAUGGGAGAAAUCGCCAGCUUCGAUAAGGCCAAGCUGAACGAAACGGAGACGCAGGAGAAGAACACCCUGCCAACCAGAGAGACCAUUGAGUAGGAGAAGCGGAGUGAAAUUUCCUAAGAUCCUGGAGUAUUUCCUGCCCCCGUCAUCUUCGAGACCCUAGUCCUGAUGUGGAGGAGGAGCCACCUGCACGAUGGACACGAGCCACAAGCUGCACUGUGAACCUGGGCACUCCGCGCCGAUGCUACCGGCCUGUGGGUCUCUGAAGGGACCCCCCCAAUCGGACUGCCAAAUUCUCCUGUUUGCCCCGGGAUAUUAUAGAAAAUUAUUUGUAUGAAUAAUGAAAAUAAAACACACCUCGUGGCCAAAAAAAAAAAAAAAAAAAAAAAAAA